rnacentral:lncRNA from 1 species
UCCUUCCCCAAACCCCCUCACGGACAGAGGAAGCAGGAGAGACAGAAGAGAGAGGGAGAGGGCCAGCCCGGGUGGCCUUCGGCCUCCUCUUGGUCGACGGUCAGCUGGCCGCCAGCGGUUGCGGCGGUGACUGACGAGGAAGAGACCGAGAGUGGUCUCGGUUUGGGGCCAAAACAAAGGGAGGAAAGCAUGCAUCGGCUAAGAUCGGAGAGCACAAAGGGAAGAGGGCUUACCGGCAGUCGACGGAAGUGGCGGAUCUCGGCCGGGGGAGGCUCGGUCCGGUGUCAGGCGGCGGCGGCGACGCUUGAACCCAAGGAGAUGGGUCUCAGAACAGGGGGUGGCCGCGAGGGGGAUCCGGGCGGCGCUCGGUCGGGAGGGUACACCGGUC